GUUGAUUUAUUUUUUUUAUUGAAAAAUAAUUAAUUACCAAAUAUGAACCAACGGAAGGAAUUGAAUAUACGUAAUACAGACUAUUUAAUUACCAGGAUUGAUAUUAAUAAUUAAUUAAAAAUUAUGUUGAAAAAUUUGAGAAAAUUAUUUAUGAAAUGACUGACAAUUUUGACAAAAUAAUUUUUAGAUGACAAUUCUAGGUGUCAAAUUGAUCAGGAACUUGUUCUUCAGUAUCCAUCGUCCGAAUUACAUUAAUAUUGUCUUGCUCGGAGACAAACUUGCUCACGAAAUAGGGCAUUCUAUUGACUACUCUUACUUAGAUGCCAUUCACUCGAAAGUUAACGAUAGUAAAUAGAGUGAAUUGUCGAAACAAAAAUAUUAUGAUACACGAAAGUGUAUCGCACAGCAGUACAGCAAUUAUUCUAGCAAAGUAACUGGAAAGAAAGUAAAUGGUGAACUCUAUGUGAUGGAAUACAUUGCUGACAAUAUUGGCAUCCAAGUUGCUUAUUCAGCCUAUCAAGAUUGGGUCAAAACACAUGGACCUCAACCAACUUUUUCUAGCUUGCCGUUCAACUCGAAUCAAUUAUUUUGGCUAACAUUCGCUAAUCAAUGGUGCUUGCCGAAAUCGUCAUUGCAAAACUGGAGUUCAACCGAUAUUCAUCCUCAGUUUGAUCAUGGUGUUAUUAUUCCGCUUUCUAAUAGCCCAGAAUUUUCAAAAGAUUUCAAUUGUCCCUUAGGAUCUAACAUGAAUCCAGUAAAAAAAUGUAUUGUGUUGUAAUUGAAAUUACCAAAUAGUAUUGUUCAUCCCUCUUCUAGUUAUAAACAAUACUUUUC